rnacentral:lncRNA from 1 species
UUUUUUACUUAUCAUUGGUUUUCAGCAAAUUUUUAUGAUAUGCAUUUGUUAUUAAUAUUUCUAUUACUAUUCUACAUAUAGUUUAUAACAAUUCUUUUUAGUUUAUAACAAUUCUUGAAUUUGCAGCUUCAUCUCUUUCAUGAGAUUUGACAAAUUUUCAACCAUUCGUAUGUUCAAACAUUUCUUCUGCCCCAUUCAUUUCAUACUUGCUUCUAGAACUUUGAUUAUAUGUCUGUUAGACCUUCCCAUGGCAUCUUCUUUGCAUUUAUCUUCUCAUCACAUUUUUCAUCAUUUUGUAUCUCUGUGUUUUAUUCUGGAUGUUUUUUCUCAGAACUUCCUUUCAGUUUGAUAAUUCUUUAUUCAGUUGUGCUUUGUUUUACUCUUAUUUUACUGAGUUUUAAAUAUUUAUUAUAUUUCUCAUAUUAAAAUAUCUUUUGGUUCUUUUUCAAAUUCAUUAUGUCUUCCAUAGUUUCUAGUUCUUUGCCAAAAUUAAAAAUCUUGUCUUUUAUCAUUGUAAAUCUAUUAAGCACAGUUUUCUAAGUCUCUGUCUGGUAACUCCAAUAGCUAGAGUCUUUAUAAUCUUAAUAUUUAUUAUUUCUGCUGGUUCUUAUUUAUGUUAUCUUGUCCCUUUGUGUGCCUAGCUAUUUCUUUUAAAAUUGUGUUUAAAACUAUAUUUGUAAAAUUAGAAUUAAUUUGUGGCCUAUGACAAUCUUCAUUCUCCAGAGAGAAUUUCACUUUGUUUGUUUGUUUGUUUUGUUUUUCUGCCAGUGCCUAAAGGCAACAGCAAUCCAAAAUACCUUGAUCCAAAUUCAGGGACUGAGAUAAAGGUUUUUUUAAAGAAUAGUGUUUCUGAGACAUGAUUUACAUAUCACGAAAUUCAUUUGUUUACUGUGUACAGUUCAAAAGUUUUUGAUAUAUUCAUUGAGCUCUGUAACCUUUACCACAAUCCAAAAUUAGAACAUUCUCAUUAUUCCGAAAAGAAACCUCCUAUCAAUUAGUACUCACUGUCCAUUCCCUACCCAACCCUACACAACUGCUUAUCUACUUUUAGUCUCCAAAGCUUUGCAUUUUCCAGACAUUUCAUACAAAAAGAAUCAUAUAGGGGAGCCUGGAUGGCUCAGUCAGUUAAGCAUCUCUUUGUCUUGGGUUGUGAUUCCAGGGUCCUGGGAUUAAGCCCCACCCAAGGCUCCCUGCUCAGCAACAGAGUCUGCUUCUCCCUCUGCACCCCUGUCUGCACAUUCUCUCUCUCUUUCCUCCUCUCUUUUUCCAAUAAAUAAAUAAAAUAUAAAAAAAGGAAUCAUACAAUAUGUGGCAAUUUAUGACUGAAUUCUUUCAUUUAGCAUAAUGUUCUCAAGGUUCAUCCACAUUGUAGCAUGCACCAGUACUUCAUUCCUUUUUAUUGAAUAAUAUUCUAUUAUAUGUAUAUACAAUUUUGCUUAUCCAUUCAUCAGCUGAUGCACUUUGGAUUAUUUCCACUUUUGAUUAUUAUAAAUACUACUACUAUGAAUAUCUGUAUAGAAGUUUCUAUGUGGAUAUGUUUUUUAAAGAUUUGAGAAAAAGAAUGAGCACAGGUGGGGGAGGGGCAGAGGGUGAUGCAGACUCCACACUGAGUGCAGAGCUCAAUGAAGGGCUCAAUCCCAGGACCCUGAGAUCAUGACCUGAGCUGAAGUCAGAUGCUUAACUGACUGAGCCAUACAGGCACCCCUAGUGGAUCUAUGUUUUUAUUUCUCUAGGGUAUAUGAAUUGCUAGGUCAUAUGGCAACUCUAUGUUUAACAUUUUAAGGAACGGGCAACCUAUUUUCAAGGUGACUGGAUUCUGGGCUAAGGUUUCUUUAAGUGUCAGUCAGUGAAGCUCUCCACCCAUUCAAUCCAAAACCAUGAUAGUUUACUAGGUACCCCUUUUGGUGGGCCCUGGAUUCCAAUUUUUUCAUUCUUAUAUCUGCAACAACAUGUCAUAAGUAUUGCAUAAUCAUAUAGCAUCUCAGCUACCACUUCUAAAAUUAGAAACUGACUUAGUCCACUCAGGCUGU